UUAAUUGUCCUUUGCGGUUUAAGUCAAUAAAUUUGAGACAGCGUGAGAGGCUGAAGGGGACUCUCAAGAUUCAUUCAGAGGACUGAUGUGCCCCUGGUUUUUCUGAGUUUGAUGAUCUGUCUUCCUUCCCUAGAUUGAGGAUACGUCGCUUCUUACUCCGGAACUCUAAUCUAAGUCUACACCCAGGGCAGGGUGUCAGAGCCUCCCUGUCCAAUAACUAUGUGUCUGUCAGUGGGAACUGGAAGGUGUUUUUCACCACCUUAUAUGGUACUUUUGAUCUGAGUGUGGAUGGCACUUCCAUCUCGAUCUCUCUGAACUUGGGCAAGAACCAGUCUGGGUGACCCACUGCCUCCAUGACCCACUGCAGCAACUCCACUGGCCAUGUCAGCAUUGAAAUUUCUGGACACCUAAGGGUGAAUUAUUUGGCUGAAACUGGAGCUCCCCAGUCCCCUGUGAUGCUCCGCCCAUCAGGCUGCCCCCAAAACACAACCGCAUGAUCUACUUUGCAGUCUCCGAAUAUGCCAUCAACGUGGCCAGCAGGGUUUACCAGCAGUCUGGGCACAUGAAAUUCAUCAUCUAAAAUAAGCAUGUGCAGAACCUAACAAAGUUUAUCAACCAUCAGUCAGCCAAAAAAUGGCAGAAGAAGUAUCUGAGCCCAAGCUGCCUGACCUCCAAGUCCACCCCUCUAACUACUCUGCUGUCCUGCUUCUCAAGUAGCUUCCUGCUUCGUCUGCUGCAGAUUCCCUUGGACUUUCCAAUCCAGCUGCACACCAGCUCAUUCCGGGCCAUCAUUCCUCAGCUGGCCAGAUUGUACCCCAAUAUGGAGCUAGAGUUUGAGACGUCACCUGAAUCAGCUCCAUUCCUGAUGUUCACCCCCGGAAAUGUGACCCUCAUGCCGGUGAGGACAUCCAGGCCUUCGCUCUCCUGCCCAACUCCUCUGGCCGCAAGCCCCUCUUCCAACUCAGGGCGCCUUUGGGACAUCAAUUAGGUUUCAGAGUGGAGCUGUUCAGUGAUGCUGCCACAGGCAUUCAUUCAAGUGUUGCAGGUAAGAUCUCACCUCCUGGAAAGAGGAAGUGGACUCAGGUAGAACAGCUAACCAUCAUAGAUGGGACAGGCUUUACAGGGCCUCCAAAUCCAAUCACCUGGUUCAACCCCACCCCUGUAACAGGUCAAGCUUCAUCAUUAAACACAGAUGUCAAUUAUUGGUGUCUUUAAAUGUCUUUAGGGCUUGGGGACUCUCUGAACUUCCCUUGGUAGCCUGCUUAUAAGUGGAUGAUCUCCCCAUUCAAAUGCUCUGUAUCUUUAGUUUGGACUUAUUCCCCUUUCUUGAUGCUUCCAUGAAGGUGGAGACCUCUGAAACCUCAGCUCACCUCUCAUGACAUUAGCUGUGGAGCCACCAACAUCCUGCAUCCUCAGUCCAUAAUCCUUGUGUAGCUGCUCUUCACUCAUCUGUCCCACAUCUGGCUGUAGUAUGUAUCUCCAACAUUUCUGGAGAUUUGUCUCCUGGACUUGGACCCAACAGGAUGCCUUCAUGGGCUGAGAGUCUGGGUCAUCCUCUUUUGCUUUUCUAGAGAACAAACAUCUCCAUCACCAUCAAUGUGAACUCCAGCAGGAUCGUUGGUUCAUUGACCACAGGAAGUGAGCUGAAAUUGGAACUGAAGCACUCCAACAUCGGUUUCUUCAAUGUGAGUUGUUUUCCUUCAGUAUUUCUUGAAUGUCCUCUCCAAGCAGGGCUUCAUGGGAAGAAGCUUCAUGGAAGGGUUCCAGGAGAAGCGACGAGGUCCCAGAUAAAGAUGCACUGUAGUCUUGCAGGAAAUGGGAUACCACGUCUGAAAGUUAACCAUCCAAGAAGGGCUAAAGGGGCAACAGGACGUGAAGAUUAAGAACAUGAGCUUUGGAGGAAAAUAGGUCUGGGCUCUUCUAUCAGCUCUGCCACUUGCUAGCUGUGUGACCUUGGGCAAAUCACUUAACCUUCCUGAGCCUCAGCUUCCUUGACUAUAAAAUGUGAAUGAUAAUAGCAUCUACCUCAGAUCAGAGCUGUAAUUUGAGAUGAGCAAUGAAUUCAGUAAGACACCUUGAUCAAAUGCCUCACACAUAUUAAGCUCUCAAUGUAUGUCACUAUUAUAAUAAUAGUGCCCAGGUGCACAAUCCUUCUCUAAAGCCCUUGGGACUGACUGGUUUCAGAAUUGGGAAUUUUUGAGAGGUAAUAUGAGGCAUGGCCCCUGUGUUAUAAAACACUUCCAGCAGGACCUGGGGCAGCAUUCUAUAAUCAAAACACAUUUCAUAAUUUUGCAGCAAAAUUUUAAAACAUUCACAUAAAGUAGAAAAAAAAAACACUAAAUAGUCCCAUGACAGUUCAGGUCAUGUUUGCCAUAAAAUAAGAUUGCAGGCCCUUAUGGGGAAUGAAGUUCAGAGAUUUGGGAUUUGGGGAUUGAGUAAGGAGCUGUUUAUGUGUCAUGGUGAUGGUCAUUGUCAACCUCUGUUUUUUAAAUGGGAUGACAGGUUGAUGUUUCCAGAGUGGGGAGUCAGAUGUUCUUCCCUUGGAUUUCUGUUUUUAUUCAUGUCUUACUUGAUUCCUUUGCUCUGGUCCCUCCUCUGCUCCAGAUGAAUUUGAUGGAAUCCAUCCUCAAUUACUAUGCGCUCCACAUCAUAUACCCCUCUCUCGAUGGUAAGAAUAGCUGCUACUGACUGGCCCAUGCAAAAGCUGAAUUCUACCCUUUCUGUAGGAUUCAUGGUUUGUUCAUUCUUUCAUUCAUUCCUUCAGCAAGGUGAGCCUCUCUUCUGUAGUGGCUGGGGGACUGGCAAUGCAUGAUCCUUGCCCUCAUGGAGUUCACACUUUGUUGGGAAGGCAGACAUGUAAAUGACAACACAGUUAGAUAAAUGCCACAGCGGAAGAAAACUGUGGGGACUCGAGGGCUGCAGGAGCUAGGAGGAGGCACUGAACCUGACUUAGAGGUCAGUCUAGACUUGCAGGAGGUGAGGGCUAUGUUGACUCCCAAAGCACAAGGAGUUAGGCCAAGGGAGGAGGAGCAUUCCGGGUGGCACCGUGGAGAGCACCUGGAGUUAGCAUAUUUGGGUCCUGGUCAGGUUAGGUCACUGACUUGCUGGGUGACCCUGAUGGAAGGAGGGCUUGGGACAGUCGCUGCUUGUGAACCUAGUGGGUUCCUCCGAUGCCAGAGCCUUCUCCAACUGGCCUCACCAUCUGCCUUUUAUGACCAAGAGAUAAGAGCAGCGAAACUGGCUAGGAAAAGAGAAAGUGGGGGAGAUGGUGGUCCUCGGGGAUGAGUCCUUGGAUAUAAACACUGCAUGUCCCAGCCCAGGCCUCUUUGGAUGGUGGAUGAAAGAGGGCUCUCGAAGGGGCCAAUAGAAGCUCAAGAGUGUGUCACAUCUGUCCACCCCUGAAGAGGCCUGUGUCUCUAUGUGCCCUGCAUCCAGUAGCCUGCCACCUGUCAGAGUAGCCCGCUCUCUCAUUGGCCAGCUGGGAAUGCAACGUUCUGCAUCUAUAUCUGCAAAUAUAUUGAAAUAAGGUAUAUAAACUGCUCAGGGCAAUUCUUGGCUCACACUAAGCUAGAUCGAUAAAUUAUAGUUGUCAUCAUCCAUUCUUACUUAUUAAAAAUUCCUUAAUAUACUAGGAGUAGGAUGACACUUUUUAAUUUAAAAAAAAAAUCUAUCUUAAACCAUCAACCAAUGUCAUUCUUCUGGUGAAAUCAUAGAGGUGUUCUGUUUUUAUCUUGGAAGGCCUAGGGAAUUAGCCAGGGACGUCUGAUGACCUUGGCCAGGAAAACCCGAGGUACCUAAGAGUAAAGACGUGAGAUUUUUGGCAAGGAUGGUGAAAGAUAAUGAACCAACGCCAAAUAGUAUCCUGGAAUGCUUGGUUAGUUAGCAAAGAAAGUUACGAUUUUUCCUGCAGAUUACUCUAUCCAAUCUACUGCUCUAAUCAUGGGCUGUUUGAAAAAAACUUAUUAUAAAAACUUUCCAGUCUCCUUGGCCCCUCCUUCUCUGUUUCUGCAUCUUUUGGCAGCAAUAGGCUCCCCAGUUUCUCAUGGGUUUUCCUGACCAAGGUCAUUGGACAACCCUGCCUACUUUCCUGGAUUUUCAGGGUAGAAACAUGUCCCCUCCAACCACAAAGGCCCACUUCACACACCACACACACCACACACACCACACACACACACUUCUCCCACUGGCAGGAGGCAUGCCUGCUGUUUUAUUUUUAAUGUCAGCAGACAUGUAGGCAGAUUGACAAACAAGCCUGAGUCUCUGAGAACGGAUCGUUGUCUGGGAGCUGGGAGUGACGGCUGACACACACUUAUUUAAACGGUUCAGCUGGUCCCCUUGCCUUCUGGACUCCUGGGUUAGCUAGGCCAGCACCACAAGCGGGCAAGUCUUCCUGAAGAAGUACAACACCUGCUGGGCCUCAUGGCAGGGCUGGGCCCAUCACAGGAUACCCUAAUAAGAAGCAUCAUACCUGACAAGCUUAGAAAAAGAAUCGAUGAUGCUUUCGAUUACAGCUGACAGACAUCCAGCUUGACUGGGUAUAUGCAGAAAAUAGACUUCAUCAGAAAGUUCUUGUAAGCAAAAGCCAACAUUGGUGGGAAGAUUUGAAAGGCCUGACCAAUGAUGUUUCUCAUGCAUGUCCUGUCUACAACCAAAUGUCUGACAAAACUACAGACAGUCUGAAGCCAGAGCCUCAGGGUCCCUUCAACCUCCUCCAAAUGGACUGCAUUCAAUUGUCCCUUAACAAUGGGACAUAUGUUUUGGUCAUUAUAUGUCUAUUCAAGAAAGGAUCAAAAAUUCCU